rnacentral:rRNA from 1 species
AUUGAACGCUGGCGGCAGGCCUAACACAUGCAAGUCGAGCGGCAGCGGGAAAGUAGCUUGCUACUUUUGCCGGCGAGCGGCGGACGGGUGAGUAAUGCCUGGGAAAUUGCCCAGUCGAGGGGGAUAACAGUUGGAAACGACUGCUAAUACCGCAUACGCCCUACGGGGGAAAGCAGGGGACCUUCGGGCCUUGCGCGAUUGGAUAUGCCCAGGUGGGAUUAGCUAGUUGGUGAGGUAAUGGCUCACCAAGGCGACGAUCCCUAGCUGGUCUGAGAGGAUGAUCAGCCACACUGGAACUGAGACACGGUCCAGACUCCUACGGGAGGCAGCAGUGGGGAAUAUUGCACAAUGGGGGAAACCCUGAUGCAGCCAUGCCGCGUGUGUGAAGAAGGCCUUCGGGUUGUAAAGCACUUUCAUCGAGGAGGAAAGGUCAGUAGCUAAUAUCUGCUGGCUGUGACGUUACUCGCAGAAGAAGCACCGGCUAACUCCGUGCCAGCCGCCGCAGUAAUAC